UACGGGGGGGGCAAGCGUUGUUCGGAAUUACUGGGCGUAAAGGGCUCGUAGGCGGCCCACUAAGUCAUACGUGAAAUCCCUCAGCUUAACUGGGGAACUGCGUGUGAUACUGGAUGGCUUGGAUGUGGGAGAGGGAUGCGGAAUUCCAGGUGUAGCGGUGAAAUGCGUAGAUAUCUGGAGGAACACCGGUGGCGAAGGCGGCAUCCUGGACCAUUAUUGACGCUGAGGAGCGAAAGCCAGGGGAGCAAACGGG
rnacentral:rRNA from 1 species